rnacentral:rRNA from 1 species
GACGAACGCUGGCGGCGUGCCUAAUACAUGCAAGUCGAACGCAGUGGGGACGGGUGAGUAACACCUGGGUAACCUCCCAUCAGAGGGGAUAACACUUGGAAACAGGUGCUAAACCCAUACUGAUGGAUGAACCCGCGGUGCAUUAGCUAGUUGGUGGGGUAACGGCUCACCAAGGCGACGAUGCAUAGCCGAUCUGAGAGGAUGACCGGCCACACUGGAACUGAGACACGGCCCAGACUCCUACGGGAGGCAGCAGUAGGGAAUCUUCGGCAAUGGACGAAAGCCUGAUCGAGCCACGCCGCGUGAAUGAAGAAGGCCUUCGGAUCGUAAAAUUCUGUUGGCAGAGAAGCGGUAUCUACCCAGAAAGCCACGGCUAACUACGUGCCAGCAGCCGCGGUAAUAC